rnacentral:rRNA from 1 species
AGUGAACGCUGGCGGUAGGCCUAACACAUGCAAGUCGAACGGCAGCACAGUAAGAGCUUGCUCUUACGGGUGGCGAGUGGCGGACGGGUGAGGAAUACAUCGGAAUCUACUUUUUCGUGGGGGAUAACGUAGGGAAACUUACGCUAAUACCGCAUACGACCUACGGGUGAAAGCAGGGGAUCUUCGGACCUUGCGCGAUUGAAUGAGCCGAUGUCGGAUUAGCUAGUUGGCGGGGUAAAGGCCCACCAAGGCGACGAUCCGUAGCUGGUCUGAGAGGAUGAUCAGCCACACUGGAACUGAGACACGGUCCAGACUCCUACGGGAGGCAGCAGUGGGGAAUAUUGGACAAUGGGCGCAAGCCUGAUCCAGCCAUACCGCGUGUGUGAAGAAGGCCUUCGGGUUGUAAAGCCCUUUUGUUGGGAAAGAAAAGCAGCAGGUUAAUACCCCGCUGUUCCGACGGUACCCAAAGAAUAAGCACCGGCUAACUUCGUG